rnacentral:sRNA from 1 species
UUCUGCCCAUGCGGGGAAGGAUGAGAAGCUUCGACUAAGGUUCGACUUGAGCGCCAGCGAGAGAGCGUUGCCGCAGGCAACGACCCGAAGGGCGAAGCGCGCAGCGCUGAGUAAUCCUUCCCCCACCACCA